GCUAUCCCUGGGAAGGUAGUCCUGGUUCUAUAGGGAAGCAGACUGAGUAAGCCAGGGGAAGCAAGCCAGUAAUCAGCUCUCCUCCAUGGCUUCUGCAUCAACUCCUGCCUCCUGCCUGACUUCCUGUUCUGACUUCCUCCAGUGAUGGACUGUGAUCUGGAAGUCCUCUGCUUCAGUUCCUGUCUUCGGGUUCCUAACUUGACUUCCUGCUCUGACUUAUCUGGAUGAUGGACUACAAUCUAAAUAGAAAAAACGUCAUAAAGACCCCAAUUAGUGAAAGCAAUCCAGAACUAAAAGAACAUCUCUGAAGGAUUACCACUUCAGAUUUGAAGCUACAUUGUACAAGGACAUAGCAACAGAACAGGAUUGCACAGGCAAAAUACAGACAUGUAGACCAUUGUACAAAUAUAGAAGACCCAAACACGAAUGCAUGUAACUGUAAUUAUAGAAUCUGAUAUUGAAUAAAGAGGCAAAAAAUAGAAGACAUACUGCAAAAAGACAACAUCUUCUACAGAUGGUGCUGGGAAACCUGAAUAUCAUUAUAGAAGAAGGAAAUUAAACCUGCAUAUAUCACCUCACACAAA